rnacentral:rRNA from 1 species
GAUUGCGGUGUGUGAAGACGCAAUGAACCGAAAGUUCGCAACCAUUCACAAAAGCCGCACAAACUAUCGCAUACCCAAUUUGCUGAAACGUCGAAAGACGGUUCGGUACCCGAAUUUCUUGACGACCAUAGAGCAUUGGAACCACCUGAUCCCAUCCCGAACUCAGAAGUGAAACGAUGCAUCGCCGAUGGUAGUGUGGGGUUUCCCCAUGUGAGAGUAGGUCAUCGUCAAGA